UAGGGAAUCUUCGGCAAUGGACGAAAGUCUGACCGAGCAACGCCGCGUGAGUGAAGAAGGUUUUCGGAUCGUAAAACUCUGUUGUUAGAGAAGAACAAGGACGUUAGUAACUGAACGUCCCCUGACGGUAUCUAACCAGAAAGCCACGGCUAACUACGUGCCAGCAGCCGCCGUAAUACGUAGGUGGCAAGCGUUGUCCGGAUUUAUUGGGCGUAAAGCGAGCGCAGGCGGUUUCUUAAGUCUGAUGUGAAAGCCCCCGGCUCAACCGGGGAGGGUCAUUGGAGACUGGGAGACUAGAGUGCAGAAGAGGAGAGUGGAAUUCCAUGUGUAGCGGUGAAAUGCGUAGAUAUAUUGAGGAACACCAGUGGCGAAGGCGGCUCUCUGGUCUGUAACUGACGCUGAGGCUCGAAAGCGUGGGGAGCAAACAGG
rnacentral:rRNA from 1 species